AAAGACGGGUGAAGAGGAAUCCCGUCCACCGAAUGCCUAAGGUUUCCUGAGGAAGGCUCGUCCGGCUCAGGGUAGGUCAGGACCUAAGCCGAGGCCCGACAGGCGUAGGCGAUGGGACAACAGUGUUGAUAUUCCUGUACCACUCUUUUCGUUGAGCAUGGAAGGGACGCCAGAAAGGGAAGAAGAAGCGUGCGAUUGGUUGCACGUCCAAGCAGUUAGGGCCUGAUAAUAGGCGCAAUCCGCCUUAUCAUAAAGGCUGAGCCUGUUGAUUGGGGAAGCUCCUUAUGGAAGCGGAAGUCUUGAUUCCCCGCUGCCCAAGAAAAGCUUCUAGCGAGAUAAAGGUCCUGUACCCGCAAACCGACACAGGUAGCGAGGGAGAGAAUCCUAAAGGUGUUGCGAGAAGAACUCUGGUUAAGGAACUCGGCAAAAUGACCCCGAACUUCGGGAGAAGGGGUGCUUUCUUAACGGGAAAGCCGCAUGAAUGAGGCCCAAGGCGACUGUUUAGCAAAAACACAGCUCUCUGCGAAGCGUAAGGCGAAGUAUAGGGGUGACACCUGCCCGGUGGGGGCUUUUGGAAGGGUUUUUUAAAAAAGGAAGGAGGGGGUUAGGUAAGCGAAGCUCUGAAACUGAAGCCCCAGUAACGGCGGCCCGUAAAACUAUACGGUUCCUAAGUAGCGAAAAUUCCUGGUCGGGGUAAGUUUCCGACCGCACGAAAGGUUGUUGAACGAUUUGGGGCACUGGUCUCAACCAAGGACUCGGUGAAAUUAUAGUACCUUGUUGAAAGAUGCAGGUUACCCGCGACAGGACGCGAAAAAGGACCCCGUGGGAGCUGUUACUUGUAGCCUGAUAUUUGAAUUUGGGGUACAGUUUGUACAGGAUAGGCGGGAGCCAUUGAAACCGCUGAGCGCUAGCUUCGGUUGGAGGCGCUGGGAUACCGCCCUGACUGUAUUGAAUCUAAACCUACGGGUCUUAUCGACCGGGGAGACAGUGUCAGGUGGGCAGUUAACUGGGGCGGUCGCCUCCUAAAAGUGUAACGGAGGCGCCCCAAAGGUUCCCUCAGAAUGUUUGGAAAUCAUUCGAUGAGUGCCAAAGGCAUUAAGGGAGCUUUGACCUGCGAGACCUACAAGUCGAGCAGGGACGAAAGUCGGGCUUAGUGAUCGGGGUCAAGCAUGGAAGGGCCAUCGCCUCAACGGAAUAAAAGGCUACCCCGGGGAUAACAGGGCCCUUAUCUCCCCCAAGAGUCACAUCGACGGGGAGGUUUUUGCACCUCGAUUGUCGGCUCAUCGCAUCUGGGGCUGUUACGGCCCAAGGUUGGGCUGUUCGCCCAUUAAAGCGGUUACGCGAGCUGGCGUUCAGAACGUCGCUGAGACAGUUUCGCGUCCCUAUCCGUCGUGGGCGUUAGAAAAUUUGAGAGAGCUGUCCUAGUACGAUGAGGACCGGGAUGGACGCACCGCUGGUUGUACCAGUUGUUUCUGCCAAGGGCAUGCUGGGUAGCUAUCGGAAGGGAAUAAGUGCUGAAAGCAUCUAAGCAUUGAAGCCCCCCUCAAGAGAGAUUUCCAAUAGCGUUAAGCUAGUAAGAUCCCUUGAAAGAUGAUCAGGUUGAUAGUUCGAGUGGAAGCAUGGAACAUGUGGAGCUGACGAAUACUAAUUAGCAUCGGAGACUUAACCAUAUAA
rnacentral:rRNA from 1 species